rnacentral:rRNA from 1 species
GAUGAACGCUAGCGGCAGGCAUAAUACAUGCAAGUCGAGGGGCAGCACGGGUAGCAAUACUUGGUGGCGACCGGCGCACGGGUGCGUAACACGUAUACAACCUACCUAUAACAGGGGGAUAGCCUUUCGAAAGAGAGAUUAAUACCCCGUAAUAAGUUGAAUGGCAUCAUUUGACUUUGAAAGUCCCGACGGUUAUAGCUGGGUAUGCGUCCUAUUAGCUAGUUGGUGGUGUAAUGGACCACCAAGGCGACGCUAGGUAGGGGAUCUGAGAGGACUAACCCCCACACUGGUACUGGGACACGGACCAGACUCCUACGCGAGGCAGCAGUAAGGAAUAUUGGACAAUGGUCGCCAGACUGAUCCAGCCAUGCCGCGUGCAGGAAGACGGCCCUAUGGGUUGUAAACUGCUUUUGUACCAGAGAAAUCCUACUCACGUAUGAGUAGCUGAUAGUAUGGUAAGAAUAAGCAUCGGCUAACUUCGUGCCAGCAGCCGCGGUAAACC